rnacentral:snRNA from 1 species
AGCUUUGUGCAGUGGCAGUAUUGUAGCCAAUGAGGUUUAUCCAAGGCGUGAUUAUUGCUAAUACUAGCAGACACUGCCAAACAUUCUCCAAGUGAUUGAACUAAUUUACACUCUCACAGCAAAGUAAUAGAGUUACAGUUGCUCCAAAUCCUUGUUGACACUUUGUAGUGUCAGAUGUUUUUAUUUUUUAAUUAAAA